GAGGACUGGACGUCUCAAGAGUCCUCUCCAGGACUCUGGCUGGGCCCCUGGCCAGUAGGGAGCCUUCAAGCUGGAGGACCGACAGGACAAGGGAGCCGAAUUACAGGAUGAGAGAGCCCUCCAGCCCCUCUCUCCUGGGCCAGCACCAACGGGAGGAUGGCUGAAAGAAGACUGGGGAACAGUACACAGAAGACAUGGGCUACAGGACUGCCAGACCCAAUCACCACCGGAUUACUGGGCUACCUGAUGCCAGCCGAUGACUGGUUUUUGAAACAAGACAAGAGGAAGAAGACAAGAUCUUUCCACCUUUGUCCCCAUCACCUACCCCUGACUGUGAGCCCUCCUCUUACAGAAUCCCCCAGAUUCCUCACGGAAGGUGGAGGUGGGAGGGCACAGUUCUUGAGGCACAAGCCUACUUGUUCUCCCCUCCAGCAGCUGAGGAUUAAAGCCACCUUUCUAUUCCCUCUGAA